AGUGAACGCUGGCGGCGUGCCUAACACAUGCUAGUCGAACGAUGAAGAGCAGCUUGCUGCUCGGAUUAGUGGCGCACGGGUGAGUAAUGCAUAGGUAAUGUGCCCCUUAGUCUGGGAUAGCCACUGGAAACGGUGAUUAAUACUAGAUACUCCUUCUUGUCUUAAGGCAAGUCGGGCAAGUUUUUCGCUAAGGGAUCAGCCUAUGUCCUAUCAGGUAGUUGGUGAGGUAACGGCUCACCAAGCCAAUGACGGGUAUCUGGUUUGAGAGGAUGAUCAGACACACUGGAACUGAGACACGGUCCAGACUCCUACGGGAGGCAGCAGUGAGGAAUAUUGCACAAUGGAGGAAACUCUGAUGCAGCAACGCCGCGUGGAGGAUGACGCAUUUCGGUGUGUAAACUCCUUUUAAGAGGGAAGAUUAUGACGGUACCUCUUGAAUAAGCACCGGCUAACUCCGUGCCAGCCGCCGCCGUAA
rnacentral:rRNA from 1 species